UGAGCAACCUGCCCUUGACCCUGGAAUAACAGCUGGAAACAGCUGCUAAUACCGGAUACGACCUCCGAUGGCAUCAUCUGGAGGUGGAAAGCUCCGACGGUCAAGGAUGGGCUCGCGGCCUAUCAGCUUGUUGGUGAGGUAACGGCUCACCAAGGCUUCGACGGGUAGCCGGCCUGAGAGGGUGACCGGCCACACUGGGACUGAGACACGGCCCAGACUCCUAGGGAGG
rnacentral:rRNA from 1 species